GAUGAACGCUGGCGGCGUGCCUAAUACAUGCAAGUCGAGCGAACAGACGAGGAGCUUGCUCCUCUGACGUUAGCGGCGGACGGGUGAGUAACACGUGGAUAACCUACCUAUAAGACUGGGAUAACUUCGGGAAACCGGAGCUAAUACCGGAUAAUAUAUUGAACCGCAUGGUUCAAUAGUGAAAGACGGUUUUGCUGUCACUUAUAGAUGGAUCCGCGCCGCAUUAGCUAGUUGGUAAGGUAACGGCUUACCAAGGCAACGAUGCGUAGCUGACCUGAGAGGGUGAUCGGCCACACUGGAACUGAGACACGGUCCAGACUCCUACGGGAGGCAGCAGUGGGGAAUCUUCCGCAAAGGGCGAAAGCUUGACGGAGCAACGCCGCGUGAGUGAUGAAGGUCUUCGGAUCGUAAAACUCUGUUAUUAGGGAAGAACAAAUGUGUAAGUAACUAUGCACGUCUUGACGGUACCUAAUCAGAAAGCCACGGCUAACUACGUG
rnacentral:rRNA from 1 species